rnacentral:rRNA from 1 species
CCCUUAGACGUUCUGGGCCGCACGCGCGCUACACUGACCAGUGCAACAAGCAUCCGUCCUUGGCCGACAGGCCCGGGCAAUCUUUGAACGCUGGUCGUGAUGGGGAUAGACUUUUGCAAUUUUUGGUCUUCAACGAGGAAUUCCUAGUAAACGCAAGUCAUCAACUUGCAUUGAUUACGUCCCUGCCCUUUGUACAUACCGCCCGUCGCACCUACCGAUUGAAUGGUCCGGUGAAGCCUCCGGAUUGGCGCGCACCUCGGUGCCGCCGAGAAGUUGGCUAAACCUUACCAUUUAGAGGAAGGUGAAGUCGUAACA